rnacentral:rRNA from 1 species
UAUUGGACAAUGGGGGCAACCCUGAUCCAGCCAUGCCGCGUGAGUGAUGAAGGCCUUCGGGUUGUAAAGCUCUUUUGGCGGGGACGAUGAUGACGGUACCCGCAGAAUAAGCCCCGGCUAACUUCGUGCCAGCAGCCGCGGUAAGACGAAGGGGGCUAGCGUUGUUCGGAAUUACUGGGCGUAAAGCGCGUGUAGGCGGUUUUCCAAGUUGGGUGUGAAAGCCUUGGGCUUAACCCAAGAAAUGCGCUCAGUACUGGAAGACUAGAGGACCGGAGAGGAUAGUGGAAUUCCCAGUGUAGUGGUGAAAUACGUAGAGAUUGGGAAGAACACCAGUGGCGAAGGCGGCUAUCUGGACGGUUCUGACGCUAAGACGCGAAA